rnacentral:rRNA from 1 species
AGCUUGUUGGUGGGGUAAGAGCCCACCAAGGCGACGAUGGAUAGCCGGCCUGAGAGGGUGAUCGGCCACACUGGGACUGAGACACGGCCCAGACUCCUACGGGAGGCAGCAGCUAAGAAUCUUCCGCAAUGGGCGCAAGCCUGACGGAGCGACGCCGCGUGGAUGAAGAAGGCCGGAAGGUUGUAAAGUCCUUUUCCUGGGGGAGAAUAAUACCUGGAGGGAAUGCCAGGUAGAUGACGUGAACCAGGGAAUAAGCCCCGGCUAAUAUACGUGCCAGCAGCCGCGGUAACACGUAAGGGGCGAGCGUUGUUCGGAUUUAUUGGGCGUAAAGGGCGUGUAGGCGGUGGUGCAAGUCUGGUGUGAAAUCCCCCGGCUCAACCGGGGAGAUGCGCUGGAAACUGUGCUACUAGAGUCUAGGAGGGGGAGCUGGAAUUCCUGGUGUAGGGGUGAAAUCUGUAGAUAUCAGGAAGAACACCGGUGGCGAAGGCGAGCUCCUGGCCAUAGACUGACGCUGAGGCGCGAAAGCGUGGGGAGCGAACAGGAUUAGAUACCCUGGUAGUCCACGCCGUAAACGAUGUGCACUAGGUGUUGGCACAGAGCGUGUCAGUGCCGCAGCAAACGCGAUAAGUGCACCGCCUGGGGAGUAUGCUCGCAAGGGUGAAACUCAAAGGAAUUGACGGGGGCCCGCACAAGCGGUGGAGCAUGUGGUUUAAUUCGAUAGUACGCGAGAAACCUUACCAGGGCUUGACAUAUAGUAGACGGCUGUAGAGAUACAGCUUCCCUUCGGGGCUGCUAUACAGGUGCUGCAUGGCUGUCGUCAGCUCGUGCUGUGAAGUGUUGGGUUAAGUCCCGCAACGAGCGCAACCCCUGCUGUCUGUUACCAUCAGGUAAUGCUGGGGACUCAGACGGUACUGCCGGUGACAAACCGGAGGAAGGUGGGGACGACGUCAAGUCAUCAUGGCCCUUAUGUCCUGGGCUACACACGUGCUACAAUGGUCGGUACAGAGCGGUGCGAAACCGCGAGGUGGAGCAAAUCGCAGAAAGCCGGUCUCAGUACGGAUUGGAGUCUGAAACCCGACUUCAUGAAGGUGGAAUCGCUAGUAAUCGCGCAUCAGCAUGGCGCGGUGAAUAUGUUCCCGGGCCUUGUACACACCGCCCGUCACACCACCCGAGUUGGGGGUACCCGAAGUCGCUAGU